rnacentral:rRNA from 1 species
UCAAGCGCGAAAAGGGCGUUUGGUGAAUGCCUUGGCAGUAAGAGGCGAUGAAAGACGUGAUACUCUGCGAUAAGCCAUGGGGAGCUGAGAAUAAGCUUUGAUCCAUGGAUUUCUGAAUGGGGCAACCCACCUGAUACUUUGUUAUUAAUACUACUAACCGGCAGUAAUGCAUGAGGGUUCGCCCUCAAGUAGCGCUCCGCGCGGUAGGGCAUAAUAAUAGGGUAAACCAGGUAUUUAUAGACUGAAUACAUAGGUUUAUAAAAGCAAACCCGGGGAACUGAAACAUCUAAGUACCCGGAGGAAAGGAAAUCAAUUGAUACUCCCCUAGUAGCGGCGAGCGAACGGGGACCAGCCGAGCCAUGAGUGUGGUUAGAAUGCGUUGGAAUGCGCAACCAAAGUGGGUGACAGUCCCGUAUAAGAAGCAUGAUUGGACGUAUUAAGUAGGGCGGAACACGUGAAAUUCUGUCUGAAGAUCGGAGGACCACCUUCGAAGGCUAAGUACUCCUUACUGACCGAUAGUGAACCAGUACCGUGAGGGAAAGGUGAAAAGCACCCCGACGAGGGGAGUGAAACAGUACCUGAAACCGAACGCCUACAAUCAGUUGGAGGAUCUUUACGAUCUGACAGCGUACCUUUUGUAUAAUGGGUCAUCGACUUGGUCUCACAAGCAAGCUUAAGCCGUUAGGUGUAGGCGUAGCGAAAGCGAGUCUUAAUAGGGCGUUGAGUUUGUGGGAUCAGACCCGAAACCGAGUGAUCUAGGCAUGGCCAGGUUGAAGAUAAGGUAACACUUAUUGGAGGACCGAACCCACAUCCGUUGAAAAGGAUCGGGAUGAGCUGUGCCUAGGGGUGAAAGGCCAAUCAAACUCGGAGAUAGCUGGUUCUCUGCGAAAUCUAUUUAGGUAGAGCGUCAUCCGAAUACCCUCGGGGGUAGAGCACUGGAUGGGUAAUGGGGCCCCACAGGCUUACUGAUCCUAACCAAACUCCGAAUACCGAGGAGUACUAGAUGGCAGACACACGGCGAAUGCUAACGUCCGUCGUGAAGAGGGAAACAACCCUGACCUCCAGCUAAGGCCCCUAAUUCAUGGCUAAGUGGGAAAGCAGGUGAGACGACCAAAACAACCAGGAGGUUGGCUUAGAAGCAGCCAUCCUUUAAAGAUAGCGUAACAGCUCACUGGUCUAAAUAAGUUGUCUUGCGGCGAAGAUGUAACGGGGCUCAAGCCAUGAGCCGAAGCUGAGGAUGCAUUUAUUGCAUGGUAGCAGAGCGUAGUGUGACAUAAGACUUAGUCUCUUCUAUUUAAGCGGACCAUCCGGUUCUGUUUGAGUGCUAACGCGCUCAAGUAGCCCUCCGGGCGGUAGCGCAAAAUAAUGGAGACAAAGUCUUUUCUGUGAAGCUGGCGCGUGAGCGAUCCGGUGGAGAGAUCACUAGUGAGAAUGAUGACAUGAGUAGCGACAAAGAGUGUGAGAAACACUCUCGCCGAAAGUCCAAGGGUUCCUGCUUAAAGCUAAUCUGAGCAGGGUAAGCCGACCCCUAAGGCGAGGCCGAAAGGCGUAGUCGAUGGGAACCAGGUUAAUAUUCCUGGGCCAGAUGGAAGUGACGGAUCUCGAGGGUAGUUCAUCCUUAUCGGAUUGAAUGGGCUGCUUAGAGGUCCCUGGAAAUAGCUCCAUCGCUAGAUCGUACCCUAAACCGACACAGGUGGACUGGUAGAGAAUACCAAGGCGCUUGAGAGAACUAUGUUGAAGGAACUCGGCAAAAUACCUCCGUAAGUUCGCGAGAAGGAGGCCCGGUUUCUAGGCAACUAGAGGCUGGGGGCACAAACCAGGGGGUGGCGACUGUUUAUUAAAAACACAGGGCUCUGCGAAGUCGCAAGACGACGUAUAGGGUCUGACGCCUGCCCGGUGCCUGAAGGUUAAAAGGAGGGGUGAGAGCUCUGAAUUGAAGCCCAGGUAAACGGCGGCCGUAACUAUAACGGUCCUAAGGUAGCGAAAUUCCUUGUCGGG